AACGAACGCUGGCGGCAUGCCUAACACAUGCAAGUCGAACGAGACCUUCGGGUCUAGUGGCGCACGGGUGCGUAACGCGUGGGAACCUGCCCUUAGGUUCGGAAUAACUCCCCGAAAGGGGUGCUAAUACCGGAUAAUGUCUUCGGACCAAAGAUUUAUCGCCUUUGGAUGGGCCCGCGUUGGAUUAGCUAGUUGGUAGGGUAAAAGCCUACCAAGGCGACGAUCCAUAGCUGGUCUGAGAGGAUGAUCAGCCACACUGGGACUGCGACACGGCCCAGACUCCUACGGGAGGCAGCAGUGGGGAAUAUUGGACAAUGGGCGAAAGCCUGAUCCAGCCAUGCCGCGUGAGUGAUGAAGGCCUUAGGGUUGUAAAGCUCUUUUACCCGGGAUGAUAAUGACAGUACCGGGAGAAUAAGCUCCGGCUAACUCCGUG
rnacentral:rRNA from 1 species